GUGAAUCAUCGAGUCUUUGAACGCACCUUGCGCUCCUUGGUAUUCCGAGGAGCAUGCCUGUUUGAGUGUCAUUAAAUUCUCAACCUCACCAAUUUUGUUAUGAUGUUGUGUGUAGGCUUGGAUGUGGGGGUUGCAGGUCCACUCUGUGGUCUGCUCCUCUGAAAUGUAUUAGUGGGUUUGGCCCCUAAUCUAUUGGUGUGAUAAUUAUCUACGCCAUGGAUUGGAAGGCUGUUACGACCUGCUUCUAACCGUCCUUCACAGGACAACUCUUGACAUUUUUGUCCUCAAAUCAGGUAAGAUCUACCCGCUGAACUUAAGCAUAUCAAUAAGCGGAGG
rnacentral:rRNA from 1 species